GUCCUCGACAGUUCCAGAUAUAGAGUCAGUUCAUGCAGAGCACAGCCAGACUUCAUCACUCUUUCGGUGUCAUAGACGUGUCCACAUUUUAUGGAUUCCCAAGAUGUACUCUGAAGGAAACCGGAGAUGAUAUGGCGAAGGAUGUGCACCUACGGACUUAGACGUAGUUAUGGCUUAUUUUUGUAAUAGCCUUGUAAUUAUGGCCAUAACGGCCUUAAUUUGUAAUUGAACUCUUUUAGGAUUUAUAUAUAAUAGAACAUGUAUGAUUUCGAUUCUUAUAUGGUGUAUAAAUGAUUCAUUUCGAUGGUUAUAUACAUUACUUUUACAAGACAUGAU